GACGUAGGGCGCGAGCGUUGUCCGGAUUUAUUGGGCGUAAAGAGCUCGUAGGCGGCUUGUCGCGUCGUCCGUGAAAACCUGCAGCUCAACUGCAGGCUUGCGGUCGAUACGGGCAGGCUAGAGUUCGGUAGGGGAGACUGGAAUUCCUGGUGUAGCGGUGAAAUGCGCAGAUAUCAGGAGGAACACCGGUGGCGAAGGCGGGUCUCUGGGCCAUUACUGACGCUGAGACGCGAAAGCGUGGGGAGCGAACAGG
rnacentral:rRNA from 1 species